rnacentral:rRNA from 1 species
UACAGAGGUCCCGAGCGUUGUUCGGAUUCACUGGGCGUAAAGGGUGCGUAGGCGGUUCUGCAAGUCUGAUGUGAAAUCUCCAGGCCCAACCUGGAAACGGCAUUAGAAACUACAGGGCUAGAGGCUUGGAGGGGGAACUGGAAUGCUCGGUGUAGCAGUGAAAUGCGUAGAGAUCGAGCGGAACACCAGUGGCGAAGACGAGUUCCUGGACAAGUCCUGACGCUGAGGCACGAAAGCCAGGGGAGCAAACAGG